rnacentral:rRNA from 1 species
CCUACGGGAGGCUGCAGUAGGGAAUUUUGCGCAAUGGGCGAAAGCCUGACGCAGCAACGCCGCGUGAUUGAUUAAGCGCUUCGGGGUGUAAAGAUCUGUCAGUAGGGACGAAAAUUGCCGUUACCCACAGAGGAGCCACCGGCUAACUCCGUGCCAGCAGCCGCGGUAAUACGGAGGGUGCAACGGUUGUCCGGAAUCAUUGGGGGUAAAGAGUGCGUAGGUGGCAUAGUAAGUCUGGUGUUAAAGGCAGAAGCGCAACUUCUGUUCGGCACUGGAUACUGGUAAGCUGGAGUGCGGUAGGGGUAAGGGGAAUUCCUGGUGUAGCGGUGAAAUGCGUAGAUAUCAGGAGGAACAUCGGUGGCGUAGGCGCUUUACUGGACCGUGAUUGACGCUGAGGAACGAAGGCCGGGGUAGCAAAUGGGAUUAGAUACCCGGGUAGUC